UACGUAGGGUGCAAGCGUUAAUCGGAAUUACUGGGCGUAAAGCGUGCGCAGGCGGUGAUGUAAGACAGAUGUGAAAUCCCCGGGCUCAACCUGGGAACUGCAUUUGUGACUGCAUCGCUAGAGUACGGCAGAGGGGGAUGGAAUUCCGCGUGUAGCAGUGAAAUGCGUAGAUAUGCGGAGGAACACCGAUGGCGAAGGCAGCCCCCUGGGUCAAGAUUGACGCUCAUGCACGAAAGCGUGGGGAGCAAACAGG
rnacentral:rRNA from 1 species